GAUGAUUUGUACAGUACAGAUGUGAAAAUACAUAUGUAUGUGUAUGUGUAUGUGUGUGACAGAGAGAGAGAGAGAGAGAGAGAGAGAGAGAGAGAGAGAGAGAGAGAGAGAGAGAGAGAGGGAGAAGUCAUGGUUGCCAAGAGAGCAAAGAGUCUGUGGUCACUGUACGACAGGUGAGGUUGAUAUGGAGGUGCACUUUCUUCUUCAAUGUAAGAAAUAUGAACAUAUUAGAGAUACCUACUUCGAUAGAUUUACCAACCUAAUCCCGGAGCUCCCAAACCUGGGAGAACAGGAAGUACUGCCCACCUUACUUGGACAGCAAGGACUGACAGCAGCUCUUGCUGCUAAAUAUGUCACUGAAUGUCACAGGGUGAGGGACAGUGAUGAGACAGCACCACUACAUAUAUAUACCUAUCCUCACCAUUGUGAACACCACACAAAGAAAACACUAUACUCAAGCACAUGAGAUACAUACACAAACAAACACACACACACCAGUUUGUAUAAAUGUCUUAUCUAUUGUAUGUUCUGUAUUGUAUUGUUUGAUGUCCUGCUUUGGCAAUGCAAAUAAAUAUUUGUGCGACACCAGCCCGGAGGACAGAGGGUUGGGGUUAUAAUGCACCCUCUGGUCAGUCAAACAUCUCUGAAGAAGGAUGGGCUUCUCUACUUUUUACUAAACUUUUAAACAGGUUAACACCUCCAGUGACGUGUGCAAAACAGGAAGGGCUUCAUAUUGCAGCAUUAGACCAAAGGAAGCGGUUUAGUUUCAACUCCCAAGUUCCCAAGUUCAACCCUUCUGAUCAGAUGAGCAGCUAAGACUCAAGGUAAAUGCAGGAUGUGGUUUGUACUCUACAAAACCUUCUGAGGAGCUGACAUACUGGACAUUGAAAAAAAAAAAAUAAUAAUAAUAAUAAUUGAAAGUAAUUGAAAGAUAUGCAUGUAUAUAAAAUACUACGUAAAGGGGAAUAUAGUAUACUAUUAUGUAAUAAUCCACUUACAGUAAGUGCAUUUUUAAAAGAAAGAAACAAAGAACAACAAAACAUUGUAGAUAAUAGUUCCUAGAAUGGUAUCUACUAAAUAUAAAAACAUGGAUUGAGUGAGAGAUUUUGUUAGUUAUCCCUGAGAAAUGUUGUCCUCUUUCCUAACGCUGUAUGGACAAUCAGGUUCAAAUCAAUGAAGUUGCACUCUUG